rnacentral:rRNA from 1 species
GGGUGAGUAACACGUGAGCAACCUGCCCUGGACUGUGGGAUAAGCGCUGGAAACGGCGUCUAAUACUGGAUAUGAGCUCUUGCCGCAUGGUGGGGGUUGGAAAGAUUUUUCGGUAUGGGAUGGGCUCGCGGCCUAUCAGCUUGUUGGUGAGGUAAUGGCUCACCAAGGCGUCGAUGGGUAGCCGGCCUGAGAGGGUGACCGGCCACACUGGGACUGAGACACGGCCCAGACUCCUACGGGAGGCAGCAGUGGGGAAUAUUGCACAAUGGGCGGAAGCCUGAUGCAGCAACGCCGCGUGAGGGAUGACGGCCUUCGGGUUGUAAACCUCUUUUAGCAGGGAAGAAGCGAGAGUGACGGUACCUGCAGAAAAAGCGCCGGCUAAUGACU